GCAUGGUUCAAGGAUGAAAGACGGUUUCGGCUGUCACUUACAGAUGGACCCGCGGCGCAUUAGCUAGUUGGUGAGGUAACGGCUCACCAAGGCGACGAUGCGUAGCCGACCUGAGAGGGUGAUCGGCCACACUGGGACUGAGACACGGCCCAGACUCCUACGGGAGGCAGCAGUAGGGAAUCUUCCGCAAUGGACGAAAGUCUGACGGAGCAACGCCGCGUGAGUGAUGAAGGUUUUCGGAUCGUAAAGCUCUGUUGUUAGGGAAGAACAAGUGCAAGAGUAACUGCUUGCACCUUGACGGUACCUAACCAGAAAGCCACGGCUAACUACGUGCCAGCAGCCGCGGUAAUACGUAGGUGGCAAGCGUUGUCCGGAAUUAUUGGGCGUAAAGGGCUCGCAGGCGGUUUCUUAAGUCUGAUGUGAAAGCCCCCGGCUCAACCGGGGAGGGUCAUUGGAAACUGGGAAACUUGAGUGCAGAAGAGGAGAGUGGAAUUCCACGUGUAGCGGUGAAAUGCGUAGAGAUGUGGAGGAACACCAGUGGCGAAGGCGACUCUCUGGUCUGUAACUGACGCUGAGGAGCGAAAGCGUGGGGAGCGAACAGGAUUAGAUACCCUGGUAGUCCACGCCGUAAACGAUGAGUGCUAAGUGUUAGGGGGUUUCCGCCCCUUAGUGCUGCAGCUAACGCAUUAAGCACUCCGCCU
rnacentral:rRNA from 1 species